GGGUCGAUGGCGUAGUUGGUUAUCGCAUCUGUCUUACAGUAUAAAUUGUACUUCACAGAAGGUCCUCAGUUCGAGCCUGGGUCGACUCA